UGGGAAGAUGGCUCUGGUUAAAUGCUGCUUUACUGUCUCCUCACAGCACAGGACCACCUUCCUGGGAUGGCAAUGGCCCCAGUGGGCCCUCCCAAUCAUCAGUCAAGAAAAUGUUCCCGAGAUGUGCCCACAGGCCAACCUGAUGGAAGCAAUUCCCAAAUCCGAGUUUCCACUUCCCAGAGUGGCCUUGAACUCACGAUCUCCAAGUCACAGAAAUCCUCCUGCUUUAGCUUCAUGGACUCUGGAACUACCAACAUGCAAC